rnacentral:rRNA from 1 species
CUGUCGAGCGGCGGACGGGUGAGUAAUGCCUAGGAAAUUGCCCUGAUGUGGGGGAUAACCAUUGGAAACGAUGGCUAAUACCGCAUAACGCCUACGGGCCAAAGAGGGGGACCUUCGGGCCUCUCGCGUCAGGAUAUGCCUAGGUGGGAUUAGCUAGUUGGUGAGGUAAGGGCUCACCAAGGCGACGAUCCCUAGCUGGUCUGAGAGGAUGAUCAGCCACACUGGAACUGAGACACGGUCCAGACUCCUACGGGAGGCAGCAGUGGGGAAUAUUGCACAAUGGGCGCAAGCCUGAUGCAGCCAUGCCGCGUGUGUGAAGAAGGCCUUCGGGUUGUAAAGCACUUUCAGUCGUGAGGAAGGCAGUGUAGUUAAUAGCGGCAUUGUUUGACGUUAGCGACAGAAGAAGCACCGGCUAACUCCGUGCCAGCAGCCGCGGUAAUACGGAGGGUGCGAGCGUUAAUCGGAAUUACUGGGCGUAAAGCGCAUGCAGGUGGUUUGUUAAGUCAGAUGUGAAAGCCCGGGGCUCAACCUCGGAAUAGCAUUUGAAACUGGCAGACUAGAGUACUGUAGAGGGGGGUAGAAUUUCAGGUGUAGCGGUGAAAUGCGUAGAGAUCUGAAGGAAUACCGGUGGCGAAGGCGGCCCCCUGGACAGAUACUGACACUCAGAUGCGAAAGCGUGGGGAGCAAACAGGAUUAGAUACCCUGGUAGUCCACGCCGUAAACGAUGUCUACUUGGAGGUUGUGGCCUUGAGCCGUGGCUUUCGGAGCUAACGCGUUAAGUAGACCGCCUGGGGAGUACGGUCGCAAGAUUAAAACUCAAAUGAAUUGACGGGGGCCCGCACAAGCGGUGGAGCAUGUGGUUUAAUUCGAUGCAACGCGAAGAACCUUACCUACUCUUGACAUCCAGAGAACUUUUCAGAGAUGGAUUGGUGCCUUCGGGAACUCUGAGACAGGUGCUGCAUGGCUGUCGUCAGCUCGUGUUGUGAAAUGUUGGGUUAAGUCCCGCAACGAGCGCAACCCUUAUCCUUGUUUGCCAGCGAGUAAUGUCGGGAACUCCAGGGAGACUGCCGGUGAUAAACCGGAGGAAGGUGGGGACGACGUCAAGUCAUCAUGGCCCUUACGAGUAGGGCUACACACGUGCUACAAUGGCGCAUACAGAGGGCAGCCAACUUGCGAAAGUGAGCGAAUCCCAAAAAGUGCGUCGUAGUCCGGAUUGGAGUCUGCAACUCGACUCCAUGAAGUCGGAAUCGCUAGUAAUCGUGGAUCAGAAUGCCACGGUGAAUACGUUCCCGGGCCU